GCUGUCCAGGUGUGUAAAAUACACCUGUUAGCAAGGGCCGGGCAAGACCGGUGCCAGCCGCCGCGGUAACACCGGCGGCCCGAGUGGUGAUCGUGAUUAUUGGGUCUAAAGGGUCCGUAGCCGGUUUGGUCANUCCUCCAGGAAAUCUGACANCUCAACUGGUANGCUUUCGGGGGAUACUGCCUAACUAGNAACCGAGANAGGAAANAGGUACUACNNGGGAAGGAGUGAAAUCUUGUAUUCCCUGAGGGACCNCCUGUGGNGAANGCNUCUUACCNGAACGGGUUCGACGGGAAGGGACGAAGGCUGGGGGCACNAACCGGAUUANAUACCCGGGUAGUCCCANCCGUAAACNAUGCUCGCUAGGUGUCAGGCAUGGCGCGACCGUGUCUGGUGCCGCAGGGAAGCCGUGAAGCGAGCCACCUGGGAAGUACGGCCGCAAG
rnacentral:rRNA from 1 species